GAUGAAGAACGCAGCGAAAUGCGAUAAGUAAUGUGAAUUGCAGAAUUCAGUGAAUCAUCGAAUCUUUGAACGCACCUUGCGCCCUUUGGCCAUUCCGAAGGGCAUGCCUGUUUGAGUAUCAUGAACACCUCAACUCUUCAUGGUUUUCCAUGAUGAGCUUGGACUUUGGGGGUCUUGCUGGCCUGUGGGUCGGCUCCUCUCAAAUGAAUCAGCUUGCCGGUUUUUGGUGGGCAUCACAGGUGUGAUAACUAUCUACGCUUGUGGUUUUCCACCAGGGUAACCUUCAGCAGUGGAGGUUCACUGGAGCUUACAAAUGUCUCUCCUCUGUGAGGACAGCCCUUUGAAUGUUUGAUCUCAAAUCAGGUAGGACUACCCGCUGAACUUAAGCAUAUCAAUAGCCGGAGGA
rnacentral:misc_RNA from 1 species